GACGAACGCUGGCGGCGUGCCUAACACAUGCAAGUCGAACGGAAAGGCCCUGCUUUUGUGGCGUUCUCGAUUGGCGAACGGGUGAGUAACACGCGAGUAACAUGCCCUUGACUUUGGGAUAACUUCAGGAAACUGGGGCUAUUACCGGAUAGGAUCUUCUGCUCCGCGGUGGUGGUUGGAAAGUUUCGGCGGUUGUGGCUGGACUCGCGGCUUAUCAGCUAGUUGGUGGGGUAGUGGCUUACCAAGCCUUUGACGGAUAGCCGGCAUGGGAGGGUGACCGGCGUCAAGACGACUGAGGUAGGGAGCAGACGGGUAUGGGAGGCAACAGGGGGGAGUAUGACACAGUGGGGGGGAGCCUGAGGCGACAGCGCUGCGUGCGGAAUGACGGCCUUCGGGUUAUGAACCGCUUUGGCAUGAGACGAGGCGAUAGUGACGGUAAUGAGUAAAGAAGCAACGGCUAACUACGUG
rnacentral:rRNA from 1 species